CGAGGACUGAGCCGGGCCGGCCCCGCGGCCCUCCGGGAACGGCUCCGGGCCGUCNNNNNNNNNNNNNNNNNNNNACGGCUCCGGGCCGUCCCGCCCUAGCGGGGGCGAUCCGGGGGUCGGAGCCCUCGGCGCUGCUGCGAGGAGGGGGAGACCACGGCACCGUACGCCCCGCCGAGCCCGCUCCCGGGACCACUGAGAGGAACCUGAGGGCAGGGGGCGCGUUACAUAAGGGCGGGGGAGCCGCCAUGGCGGUACAAGCGCGGAAGAAGACACAGCCUGACUGGCAGGCAGUCAGAAAGCCCCUGGAACUGAUUGUGACAGUGAGAGAACCACAUUUGGGCCCACAAUCGCCUGUCUGAUGUGACUGACAGGCGUCCGAUAUUGGGAAACCGGAGCCAAAGCAUGGACUGGCACCGUGCGAGGACACAGAUGCCCCAACCAAUCCCACCGAGCGGAACACAGCAAGCCUCAGCCCAGCUGCUGCCCCAAGCAGCCUUCGCCAGGCCAUAGGCAGCCCUGGCCGGACCAUCUCUGACCUACAACCAGCCACCCCAGGCAGCGCAGGAAUGGACCUGGCAACCUCCAACACAGUAAUGUUGCUUGAUUAUUCUGUUCAUUUGAUUCCCACAUGAGUUUUGGACCACCUAGACAGUGUAUGCAUAAUUUGUUUGUUUUCCCUGGAGCUAUUGACUCUGAAUCAUGUCAUGGACCCCCCACCUGCCCUGUGUAGUGCCGGCCGGGAGCCAUAUAGCUUGUAGUAUAAGAUAGAGAUAAUUCAUGCUUUGUAACUGUAUAAAAAUUGUAAGAUCCAACCAUGCCUCUGACCCCCAUGGCCAGAAGCAGGACCUCCUUUCUAUUCAAAAGAUUUCCUGGACUCGCCCAGAUAAAAUCAUGACUAUUAAUGAAUGAAUGAGUCCUUCCCGGGCAAUCAGCGACCAUUUCCCAGGAAUGUCCAGAACAUUCACAGAACGGCACCUGGAAGAGAUUACAUCGAGGACCAGCUGAUGUCUUGGCUACAAUUGAAAAGAAGACCAUUUUGAGGAGCUCAGACAGCCAUCCAAACCUAUGGACUAACUUUUGUACGGCUCUGAAUCUGUAUUGUCCCCGUUAUACAUAUGUAGGGACUUACAGAAAUCUGAUGUCAUUUCUGCUUCAGGUGGAAUAAACUGUAUAUAAACUGGCUACCUGAAGCA
rnacentral:lncRNA from 1 species